CUUGAGCGAGCCCAGCCGGAGCGGGCGGUCGGCGGGCCGGUUCUGCCCGUAGGUGUUCAGCAGCGCCUGUGCCUC
rnacentral:antisense_RNA from 1 species